rnacentral:ribozyme from 13 species
CACCCUGAAACAAACCCUCUCCCAAAAAGAAGAGAGAGAAAAAGAAGAAGAAAACAGAGAGAAAAGCUCCUAUGUAAAAGAGCUCCUCUCUACACAUUCUCUUCUUCUUUCUUCUGGGGCGGUGGUACAAUCUCCUUUGAUUCCUCUUCCUUCUGAUUUCUUUGUUUCUGGAGAGAGAGAAGA